CCCCUCUUAGCACAAUGGUGGUGCGUUCGGCUGUAGACCGAAAGGUUCCCGGUUCGAGUCCGGGAGAGGGGA
rnacentral:tRNA from 1 species